AAAAAAACCAUCGCAGGUCACAACCGACUGUCUCUCCUUUUUUCGAAGGUUUUAUAGAAGAAAGAGAGAGCUUUUACUCAUCUCAAGCUUGGAACUUUUCUCUCAUUCUCUUCCUUUCUAAGUUGUCUCUCAGACCUUCUUUUCACAUUCCGUUGCAGAUUACUUAGCAUUUUGAUUUCGAAUAACAACCUUAAUCAGAAAGAAAGAGAGAUGUUCCGGAGCCGAUUAUCACCAUUUUUGUUGGUGAAGAGUAACCGCAAGGCUCUCUACAACCACAUCACCCAAGCAACAUCAUCUUCGUCUAAAGUUGCAAGGGAGGAGACAUCUAGAUUUUUCUCCACUGGAAUCGUACGGAGAAUUCUGCAUGACUUCCGAUCUUCCCCUAAGGGUCAGUAUGUGCCAUCUUUGAGAAAUGUUUCCACCGUGCAAUCUCUUAAUGCAAAAAGUAAUGAAGGACUGAAGCUACUUGUAAAUGGAGGACCUCAUGCUCAGAAAAUGGUUGGGAUAUGGCUCUUUGGCUCUGCUGCUUGGGUGUUUAGUAUGGUCGUACUUGGAGGUGUUACACGACUAACAAGAUCUGGUCUUUCGAUGACUGAUUGGAAGUUUAGUGGUGGGCUCCCUCCUCUAUCGGAUGAGGAAUGGUUACAGGAAUUCGAGAAGUACAAGCAGUCUCCUGAAUAUAAGCGGGUUAAUCGAGGAAUGAGCAUUGAUGAUUUCAAAUUUAUAUACUGGAUGGAAUAUGCUCAUCGUAUGUGGGGAAGAGCUCUUGGUAUCAUGUUUGCUUUGCCAUUUUCAUAUUUUCUUCGUAAGGGAUAUAUUACCGUACGACUUGGACUGAAACUCUCUACUCUUUUCGCCCUUGGUGCUGGGCAGGGUCUGAUUGGAUGGUGGAUGGUUAAAAGUGGUUUAGAGGAACCACCAUCUGAAUAUGCACAGCCUAGAGUAAGCCCGUAUCGGCUUGCAGCUCAUCUCACUUCGGCAUUUGUUAUAUACAGCGGCCUUCUUUGGACAGGUCUCUCGGUGGUAAUGCCCGAACCACCUGCAGAAUCAAUGUCCUGGGUUAAGGGGGCUGCAAAAGUAAAGAGACUUGCUCUUCCUGUCAGCUUACUCGUCGGCAUUACUGCUGUCUCAGGAGCAUUUGUUGCAGGAAAUGAUGCUGGACAUGCCUACAAUACUUUUCCGAAGAUGGGCGACACAUGGAUACCUGAGGAUGUUCUAGAAAUGAAGCCACUUAUUCGCAACUUCUUUGAGAAUACUUCGUUGGUGCAGCUUGACCAUCGUAUCCUGGCAACAGCCACUUUAGUUUCAAUCGCCUCGUUAUGGUGGUUAACGAGGAAGGUGGAUCUUCAUCCUGCAGUUCGAUAUUUGAUUGGAAGCACUGUUGGCAUGGCUGGUCUUCAGGUUACCUUGGGGAUAUCUACCCUUUUGUCAUACGUGCCAGUUUCCCUGGGCAGUGCUCAUCAAGCUGGGGCUUUGACACUAAUGUCACUGAUGAUCCUUCUCAUUCACACUCUGAGGAAGCCAUCGCCCUUUCUUCUUAAAUCUCUGCCUAAAGUUGCCAAGACAAUCUAGCUUACUGCACAAAUUUAUGCAAAUCCUGCCCUUUUGGUUGGUGUUUCUGAUCGACAAAUUUCCUUCCUGGAUGGUGCUUCGUGUUACAAGGGCCUUUGUGGUUAAAGAAACUUACCCCAUUUUCGUUCAUGGAGAUCAGCUAGAAAAAGUUUGAUGGAAGAAGACGUAUCAGAGAACAUUGAUUGAUCAGAUAAGAUAUUUGUAUAUUGGAACGAGGUUGUGAGAGAGUGGUGAUAAAGAAUAGCACGAAACUAGAUAAAGUAUUACAAUAUAUUUUAAUACUAUCUUUUUCUUCAGUAGUCAAUAAUGCAUGUUAUAUUGUUUAAAUUUGUGUUGUAAUAAAUUAUCUAAUUGUUAUAUUGUAAUAAGUUUUACAAUAAUGAUAAAUGUACAUAAAAUGUGCACCAAAAUGAGCAGUGCAUA